GCAGAGCACUCCUGCGGGAGGCAGCAGUGGGGAAUAUUGCACAAUGGGCGCAAGCCUGAUGCAGCCAUGCCGCGUGUAUGAAGAAGGCUUCGGUUGUAAGUACUUUCAGCAGUGAGGAAGGUGGAUAUGUUAAUAGCAUAUUCAUUUGACGUUAGCUGCAGAAGAAGCACCGGCUAACUCCGUGCCAGCAGCCGCGGUAAUACGGAGGGUGCGAGCGUUAAUCGGAAUUACUGGGCGUAAAGCGCAUGCAGGUGGUUUGUUAAGUCAGAUGUGAAAGCCCGGGGCUCAACCUCGGAAUUGCAUUUGAAACUGGCAAACUAGAGUACUGUAGAGGGGGUAGAAUUUCAGGUGUAGCGGUGAAAUGCGUAGAGAUCUGAAGGAAUACCGGUGGCGAAGGCGGCCCCCUGGACAGAUACUGACACUCAGAUGCGAAAGCGUGGGGAGCAAACAGGAUUAGAUACCCUGGUAG
rnacentral:rRNA from 1 species